CUCUUAUCAAGAGUGGUGGAGGGAACUGGCCCAGUGAAACCCGGCAACCUGUAUAAACAAGGUGCUAAAUCCAGCGGUAUUAAUCUUUAUACCGAGAGAUAAGAA
rnacentral:ncRNA from 2 species